CUGCGCUUUAUGGUUGUGCAUUCUGGCCAUGGAAAUACAGGAAAACAGAAGUGCCAAGCAGAGGAAGUAGACAGAAAGUUCCCCCUCAUUUUCAUCUGGAAUGACAUUUUACAAUUCGUUGCCGGCAUUGGAAGAGGAGCUGCAUUUAAUGCGAUUUGCCAGAGGUCCUGGGUCCUGCAGCAGGACAAGCGUCGUAAAUGGAAAAGUCAACGGAGGAGCCCAGGAAACUGGGAGACUGUCGCUCGAUGGCGCACAAAAUGUCUGCAAUUAUUGUAAAUAGCGCAAUCAUCGAGCAAGUCAAGAGCGUCGCAUCCUCGAAGGAAAGCCGGAAAAACGAGGAAGGGAGAAAGUGUGGGGGGGUCAGAAAAAUUACUCCUGUUUAUGAGAUCAGCUUAUUGAAUAAAUGAGGCGCGUGCUUCAGCACUCUUCCA